AUGCGACCACACCACGUUGAAACACCGUUUCAUGUACGAUCACCGAAGUUAAGCAGCUUCAAGCCUGGUCAAUACCUAGAUGUGUGGCCGCUUAGGAAUGCCAGAUAC